GUUUGUUUUCAGGCCGAUUUGCUUGAGAAAUGUAAAUAAAGUAAUUAAAGCUUCGCGUUUAAAUUGCUUAGUGUGAAUUAAUUUGCCACGAGCAUGCAUAAGGUGAAAUUGAAUGUAGAGAGCGAAGUUUCGACACGAAAAGUUUAAAAUAGAGAAUUAAAGUCUCACCGCGUACAGAAAGUAAUAAUAUUGAUGGCUAUCAGAAAUCCACCUUGGCUACUAAUGACUAUGAUGACUUCAUACUAAAUACUGUUGAGAUGCGCAUACCAUAUUACAUAAAAAUAUCUGCUUCAUGUUUUUUGUGGAAAAUCGAUCGCUAUGAUUUACAUCUAAAACUGUACACUUAAAAAUUCUGGAUAACAAAUUUGUAAUAUACUUGUGAAUUCAUUUUAUAUAAUUCAACUUAAGUGAUG